UUUAAUGAGAGUUUGAUCCUGGCUCAGGACGAACGCUGGCGGCGUGCCUAAUACAUGCAAGUAGAACGCUGAAGGAGGAGCUUGCUUCUCUGGAUGAGUUGCGAACGGGUGAGUAACGCGUAGGUAACCUGCCUGGUAGCGGGGGAUAACUAUUGGAAACGAUAGCUAAUACCGCAUAAGAGUAGAUGUUGCAUGACAUUUGCUUAAAAGGUGCAAUUGCAUCACUACCAGAUGGACCUGCGUUGUAUUAGCUAGUUGGUGAGGUAACGGCUCACCAAGGCAACGAUACAUAGCCGACCUGAGAGGGUGAUCGGCCACACUGGGACUGAGACACGGC
rnacentral:rRNA from 1 species